rnacentral:rRNA from 1 species
ACGUACACUCCUGCGGGAGGCAGCAGUGGGGAAUAUUGGACAAUGGGCGCAAGCCUGAUCCAGCCAUGCCGCGUGAGUGAUGAAGGCCCUAGGGUUGUAAAGCUCUUUCACCGGUGAAGAUAAUGACGGUAACCGGAGAAGAAGCCCCGGCUAACUUCGUGCCAGCAGCCGCGGUAAUACGAAGGGGGCUAGCGUUGUUCGGAUUUACUGGGCGUAAAGCGCACGUAGGCGGACUAUUAAGUCAGGGGUGAAAUCCCGGGGCUCAACCCCGGAACUGCCUUUGAUACUGGUAGUCUUGAGUUCGAGAGAGGUGAGUGGAAUUCCGAGUGUAGAGGUGAAAUUCGUAGAUAUUCGGAGGAACACCAGUGGCGAAGGCGGCUCACUAGCUCGAUACUGACGCUGAGGUGCGAAAGCGUGGGGAGCAAACAGGAUUAGAAACCCCAGUAGUCCCAUG